AUGCAUUGGUGGGUACUCACCCACACAGUGCAGGGAAGUUGGGACGUUCUCUCCUUCAAAAACACAACACUGGGCAAGCUACAUUUUUUCAGCUAAUAUGUAAUACAAUGGAUUUCCUCUUUCUAAAGGAUUGCUUUCACAUCCACCACUCCUGAAAGGGGAUAGAAUUGACCGAGCUGCAAACAGACAGCUAGAACUAAAGCCAAAGAGGUGGGAGAUUUUUUUCUCCAUCUUCCUCACAUCAUGAGCUCCCGUGUGGUGAACAAGAAAGGAGAGCCACAGUACCGCCGGCACUUCCUCACAGACAACAGCAUCUUUCAGGUGGAGCGAUGCAUGAGUGUGAUGCAGUCUGGGACUCAGAUGGUGAAGCUGAAGGCAGGAUCCAAAGGACUGGUUAGACUCUUCUACCUGGAUGAGCAUCGGUCCUGCAUCCGCUGGAAGCCUUCACGCAAGAGUGAGAAAGCCAAGAG